GACGUAGGGUGCAAGCGUUUGUCCGGAUUUAUUGGGCGUAAAGAGCUCGUAGGCGGCUUGUUGCGUCGACUGUGAAAACCCGCGGCUUAACCGCGGGCUUGCAGUUGAUACGGGCAGGCUAGAGUUCGGUAGGGGAGACUGGAAUUCCUGGUGUAGCGGUGAAAUGCGCAGAUAUCAGGAGGAACACCGGUGGCGAAGGCGGGUCUCUGGACAGUUCCUGACGCUGAGGCACGAAGGUCAGGGGAGCAAACGGG
rnacentral:rRNA from 1 species